rnacentral:rRNA from 1 species
AAACUUUGCAAUGUGCGAAAGCACGACAAGGUUAAUCCGAGUGGUUUCUGCUAAAGGAACCUUUUGACAGUCCUAGAAACACUGUUGAAUAAGGGGUGGGCAAGUUCUGGUGUCAGCCGCCGCGGUAAAACCAGCACCUCAAGUGGUCAGGAUGAUUAUUGGGCCUAAAGCAUCCGUAGCCGGCUCUGUAAGUUUUCGGUUAAAUCUGUACGCUUAACGUACAGGCUGCUGGGAAUACUGCAGAGCUAGGGAGUGGGAGAGAUAGACGGUACUCGGGAGGAAGUGGUAAAAUGCUUUGAUCUCUCGAUGACCACCUGUGGCGAAGGCGGUCUAUCAGAACACGUCCGACGGUGAGGGAUGAAAGCUGGGGGAGCAAACCGGAUUAGAUACCCGGGUAGUCCCAGCUGUAAACUAUGCAAACUCAAUGAUGCACUGGCUUAUGGCCAGUGCAGUGUUGCAGGGAAGCCGUUAAGUUUGCCGCCUGGGAAGUACGUACGCAAG